UUCUGAAGAUGCAGGGAUGAUUCAACAUAUGUACAUUAAUAAUUGUAAGAAAUCAUAUAAAUGGUCUCAAAGACAAAAAAUCACAUGAGCAUCUUAAUAGAUGCAGAAAAAGCCUUUAAGAGAUUUCAACAUGCCCACAUGAUAAAAGUCCUAGAAAGAGUAGAACUGGAGGGAACAUACUUGAACAAAAUAAAAACUAUAAUGAUAUACUAAGCCCAUAGCCAUCUUAAUCAUAAAUGUAAAACCCAGAAACAGCCCAUUUAAAACAGUAGUUAGACAGGGAUAUCCACUCUGCCUACUCCCUUUUCCAUACAGAGUGUAAAGCAUUAGCUAAAGCAAUUCAAUAAGGUAAGAAACUUAAGGGAGUGUAAAUAGGAAAAAAGGGAGUCAAAUUAUCCUUGUUUGUUUUGAAAUAAUUAUUACUCAUAAGAGAUGCCCAAAGUUUCACCAGAAAACUUAUAGGAAUAAUCAAUAAAUUCAUCAAAGCAACAACAUAAAAAUCAACUUUUAAAAUACUCAGUAGCCUUUCUAUGCACCAACUGCAAACGUUCGCAGACAGAGAUGGUAGAUAUACUACACUCAAUAAUGAGACUGCAUUCGAAGCAAUCUCAGUGACCAUUGCAAGAAAGAAGCCCAAUAAGGAAGGUGAAAGACCUCUGCAGCGAGAAAUUUAAAUCUCCAAAGAGACUCUAGAGUGAAGUCACUAGAAAAUGGAAAGGCAUCCCCUGCUCCUAGAUGGAUGGAAUUAAUACUAGCAAAAUGAGCGUUCUACUUUAAGUAGUUUACAGAUUAUGUGUAAUCCCAAUCAAAUUCUCAUCUCCUUCUUCACACACUUGGAAAGAAAACACACACACACACGCACACACACACACACACACACACACACACACACACACACACACACCCCACAGGUUGCUUUCUUUUGGUAGCAAUAAUACACGUUGGUGGGAUUCCAACAUGAGGGGUGGAAUACUCCGCAUGCUUUCUCCCUGCUUUGAGAUCCAGUGACUAACUCAAGGAUAUAGGGUAGAACCAGACAAACCAAGGACCCCUCCUACACAACUCCCAAAGCUUCCCUAAUCUUACCACACAGGGUUGUCUGGAAUAGGAUCCCAUUGAAAGCCAAGACUCACUAAGGUCUACAAACUGUGAGGCUGUCCUGCUCCAGGGAUACCAUAUUCAAUUUGGUGGUCAGGAUGGUGGGCCAUAGACAGAAGCAGAUCACAAGGCAGUUCCUUGGUGGCCACAAACCCCAUCCUGGGGACCUGACUUUGAGGAAGAAAUUAAAUGAAAGCAGCUGCCAAUGACAAGGUCCAUAUAACCCACAAGGUGUCACCGCACAGUAGCUGAGUUCAAACUCUGCACAGACCAUGUGGCAGACAUUGAUAUCGGAAUUUUGUAGAGCACAUUUGUGAAAGUUAAUCACACUUCACACAUCUUAUCUUGGAAUCCAUCCUAAGAAAGAUUCUCAGAUUUUCUUUUAGAGAAUGAAAUGAAAAAGCAGAAUGAGAAUGGCUUCUUCAGGAUGACUUGUCUUUUAGAUACAAGAGUCAGGACUGAAGGAAGUCACACUCAUGUUUGUGAUGUACUUUGUGUGUGUGUGUGUGUAUGUAUAUAUGUGUAUAUAUGUAUAUAUGUGUGUAUGUAUACAUAUAUAUAAAAGUUGGGCAAAAAAAUUGAAAAUUGCUUUAGAAUUAAUCAAGGUUUAUUAGAGUAUAUUAUGUCUCCAGCUAAUCAAGAAUACAUUUAGCUUUAUGGAAUGAAUUAAGAUGGGCAGUUGUGUAAUCUCUCCAUGAAUUUAAAAUGUCUUUCAGUGCCGAUGGUAUUUUCUAAGGAGAUAGCUUUAUUGGAGGUCAUUUCUAGGGACUCAUACACUUUUGUCCCUGUAUUAUCAUUUCAGCUGAAAAAAAAUACCAAAUCAUGAUAUAAAAAUUGUACAUGUUUGUCACAGUUUAAUGAAAUUGUUCUCUUCAACUAAGUUGACUGUGGAAGGAAAGUAAGUUUUUUUUUUCAAUUAAAAAUAUUUCAAGUUAAGCUGCAGUUACUUUAGUGGGAGAUAGUUGGUUAUGCAAAGCUGAUAUUAAUCUGAUGUAUAUGGAAUGGUUGCAUAUAAAUUUCUCUCAAAUUGCCUUGAACUUUUAAUGAAUAAAAUGAAAUUUUGCCCCAGGGAAAGCACAACCAUUUUAAGUUUUAUUACUCCUAAGUACUAACAUAUGAAGUUUCAGUCUCUGUUUAUAUAUGUGAUUUAUUUUCUGCUCUGCUUUAUAUUUAUAUGAUGUGUCGUGAAAUAUUGCAUAUGAUAUGUUCGGUAUAACUUUGGCAUUGGGAUUGUUCCAGAGGGUGGAGAAGUUGCUUAAAAUUCAAGACUGUUUUGUUUUAGACAUUUGGAACAGAAAUCUGUCUAAAACAAACCAUAUUCCUGUCUUCGUAAAUAGAUCAUACUGGCCCGAACCUUUCCUU
rnacentral:sRNA from 1 species